GCCUCAGUGGUCUAGUAGUAUGAUUCGCCCUUCGGGAAAUUUCCCGUAAGCACUCCCGCUUACCAAUGUUACGUAACAACCAUGGGCGAGGCCCUGGGUUCAAUUCCCAGCUGGGGCC